rnacentral:ncRNA from 2 species
UUUCAUAUGGAUGGUAUAGGUGCCCUUUGGGGCUUAAUAGGGAAGUCCGGUUCAAUUCCGGCGCGGUCCCGCCACUGUAAUGAGGAGCAAACCCAUUUUUAUGCCACUGGAGUAAUCAUUCUGGGAAGGUAUGGGUAAGCAAUGAUCCAAAGUCAGGAGAACUGCCUAUAUAGCAAUCACCGA